GAAUGAUAUGAUGAUUAGAUUAACCUAUUGGUUUGAUCGCCGGUAUGAUGGCGCUAAUAUCUCUAAUUUCUUUCUGAUCAUUC